GAGUUUGAUCGUGGCUCAGAUUGAACGCUGGCGGCAUGCCUUACACAUGCAAGUCGAACGCGAAAGCGGGGCAACCCGCAAGUAGAGUGGCGAACGGGUGAGUAAUACAUCGGAACAUUUCCAGUAGCGGGGGAUAACCUGUCGAAAGAUAGGCUAAUACCGCAUACGACCUACGGGUGAAAGCGGAGGACCGCAAGGCUUCGCACUAUUGGAGUGGCCGAUGUCGGAUUAGCUAGUUGGCGGGGUAAAAGCCCACCAAGGCGACGAUCCGUAGCUGGUCUGAGAGGACGAUCAGCCACACUGGAACUGAGACACGGUCCAGACUCCUACGGGAGGCAGCAGUGGGGAAUUUUGGACAAUGGGCGCAAGCCUGAUCCAGCCAUGCCGCGUGAGUGAAGAAGGCCUUCGGUU
rnacentral:rRNA from 1 species